rnacentral:rRNA from 1 species
GAUGAACGCUGGCGGCGUGCCUAAUACAUGCAAGUCGAGCGAAUAGACGAGGAGCUUGCUCCGCUGACGUUAGCGACGGACGGGUGAGUAACACGUGGAUAACCUACCUAUAAGACUGGAUUAACUGCGGGAAACCGGAGCUAAUACCGGAUAAUAUAUUGAACCUCAUUUUUCAAUAGUGAAAGAGGGUUUUGCGGUCACUUGCAGAUGUAUUCGCGCGGCUUUAGCUAGUUGGUAAGGUAACGGCUUACCAAGGCUACGAUGCGUACCCGACCUGGGAGGGUAAUCGGCCACACUGGAACUGAGAAACGGUCAAAACUCCUACGGGAGGCAGCAGUAGGGAAUCUUCCGCAAUGAGCGAAAGCCUGACGGGGCAACGCCGGGUGAGUAAUAAAGGUCUUCGGAUCGUAAAACUCUGUUAUUAGGGAAGAACAAAUGUGUAAGUAACUAUGCACGUCUUGACGGUACCUAAUCAGAAAGCCACGGCUAACUACGUG